GGUGCAUGGCCGUUCUUAGUUGGUGGAUUGAUUUGUCUGGUUUAUUCCGAUAACGAACGAGACUCUAACCUGCUAAAUAGACUUCUGGUAGCUUGGCCAGUUGACUUCUUAGAGGGAUAAGUGGUGUUCAGCCACAUGAAAGUGAGCAAUAACAGGUCUGUGAUGCCCUUAGAUGUUCGGGGCUGCACGCGCGCUACACUGGUUGUAUCAGUAUGCUUCUAUCUUGGUCGAAAGGCCUUGGCAAACCUCUGAAAAACAGCCAUGAUUGGGAUAGGGAAUUGCAAUUAUUUCCCUUCAACGAGGAAUUCCCAGUAAGUAUGAGUCAUCAGCUCAUUCUGAUUACGUCCCUGCCCUUUGU
rnacentral:rRNA from 1 species